UCUAAACUACCUUAGGAUUUAGGAUUUGAUUAGAAUUUAGUUAGAGUUUGGAAUUUGUCUAAGAUUUCAUUAUGAUUUGGUUUAGAGUUUAGAAUUUUUUUAGAAUUUGGUUAAGGUUUGAUUUAGGAUUUUAUUAGGAUUUGAUUUAGGAUUUAGGAUUUAAGAUUUGAUUAAAUUUUGAUUAGGAUUUGAGAUUUGUCUAGGAUUUAGUUAGGAUUUGAUUUAGAGUUUAAGAAUUGUCUAGGAUUUGAUUUAGGAUUUAGAAUUUAGUUAAGAUUUAGUCUAAGAUUUGAUUAAAUUUCAUUAGGAUUUUAAAUUGGGUUAAAUUAGAUUUUUUAAAGAUAUAUUUGUACUUAUUUUAAGAUUUCUUUAGGAUUUCUUAAGAAUUUUCUUAAAAUUUAUUGUGCAUUUUAUUUGAAUUCCUUUAAGAUUUUUUAUUAUUUCAUUUGUAUUUUAUUUAAGAUUCUUUUGAAUUUGAUUAAAGCUUGUUUAGCAUUGUUAUGGUUUAAUUAGAGUUUAUUUAGUAUUUUAUUAGACUUAAGAUUUUAUUGUUGUAAUUUCUAUUCUAUCUUUCACAACCAGAUGUCUAGUAUAUUCUUGAACAAGUUUUUACAUAUUACGACACCAUUAUCAUAUUAUGUGUUGUCUUACUUGAGAAUGCAUUGGGCACCUAGUUGUGAAAGGUGAGGUUGUAUUUCACAAAUAUCCAAAAAAAUCCUAAUAGGUUUCAGCCAUAUGAAAAGAAUAUAAUUCAAAUUCUAAGUCAAAAGUACUAAAAAUCACUCUUUUUAGUAGCUCCAAUUACACAUAAAUCUCAAUUACCUUGUUACUUUUAUAUUUAAGCAAUUUAGAUUUUUCUUAUAAGUCCUUAUCUUAAUCAGUGAGCUUUAACAAGAUGUAACUUCUAAUUUGACUGUCCACUUGAUGUAAAAUUUUGCAUGCAAUUGUCAAUGUAAGUCUUCUAUAUGCUCAAGAAUUUUCAGUCCAAUCUAACUUAUAGAUUAUGAGAAAAUCUCUAAAAAUUGCACUGAUGUCACUCAGUCACCAUCUUGAAAAGUGAAGCAAAAAUCCUAGCAAUGA
rnacentral:lncRNA from 1 species